rnacentral:rRNA from 1 species
AGUGAACGCUGGCGGUAGGCCUAACACAUGCAAGUCGAACGGCAGCACAGUAAGAGCUUGCUCUUACGGGUGGCGAGUGGCGGACGGGUGAGGAAUACAUCGGAAUCUACUUUUUCGUGGGGGAUAACGUAGGGAAACUUACGCUAAUGCCGCAUACGACCUACGGGUGAAAGCAGGGGAUCUUCGGACCUUGCGCGAUUGAAUGAGCCGAUGUCGGAUUAGCUAGUUGGCGGGGUAAAGGCCCAACAAGGCGACGAUCCGUAGCUGGUCUGAGAGGAUGAUCAGCCACACUGGAACUGAGACACGGUCCAGACUCCGACGGGAGGCAGCAGUGGGGAAUAUUGGACAAUGGGCGCAAGCCUGAUCCAGCCAUACCGCGUGGGUGAAGAAGGCCUUCGGGUUGUAAAGCCCUUUUGUUGGGAAAGAAAAGCAGCAGGUUAAUACCCCGCUGUUCUGACGGUACCCAAAGAAUAAGCACCGGCUAACUUCGUG